GUACUCCCUUCGGCAGCACAUAUACUAAAAUUGGAAUGAUACAGAGAAGAUUAGCAUGGUCCCUGUGCAAGGAUGACAUGGAAUGUUGGUGUGCAGACUCCUUAU
rnacentral:snRNA from 1 species